UUUACCACCGACUCCUUCUGCUGCUGGUCGGCCCUUCGCUCAUUCCAUUCCCAGCAAGCGCUUCAUAAAUAUUUGCUGUGCCUCAGCACAGAUUCAUAACUCAUAAAGGGUCUGUCUCUCAGUCCGUCUCUCUGUUAUGCCCACCCCCCACUCUGCCAGUGUGUGUUUGCCUGGCCCCAAUGGACAUCUAGCAGGGGUCUUGCCACAUGUAAUUAGGUUGCGGUUUCCUUGCCACCUUCUUUCUGCUGGCUUGCUUCCUCUUUUGGCAAUGAAUCCUUUUUGCAUCACGCCCGCAUGCGGCAGGCAGGCCAGUCGAAAUAAGUGGAGUCCAGUUGGCCCUAUCUGGGCUACACUCUCUCGGUUUCUAAGUGGGUGUGUGUGUGUGUGUCUGGGUGUGUGGGUGUCACCUACUUUGACUUGGGCUUUGGGGCAGCAGUACUCCAGUACUCAGCUGCAGCUGCAGCCACCCGCUGAUGAGCGCUUGAUGAUGCUGGCCCGUUAUGACGAUGAUGAUGAUGAUGAUGAUGACGAUGAUGGGCAUGAUGAUGAUGAAGCCAGCGUUGGCAAUGAUUGGGUUAACGACUACGUGGCGCAGACGUUGCGCCAUAAAUUACGAAUGUUUGCACGCUCUUGCACGUUACUUGCUGCUCCCGUUAGACAAACAGCAAAGGCAGAGCAGCGGCAGCAGAGGUAGCAACUGCGACGGCGACGGCGACGGCGACAGCGACUGCGAUUGGCAAUGAGUGAGAAAUGUGUUGAGGUGCUAGACGGCAGCUUGGCCCCGCGUGCACACUGCGCAUGCCCGUGGAGUCAAAGCCAAAGCCAGUGUCAGCGCCAGCAUCCUGCAUCCGAGGUGGCAGAUUCAGCAACCAACCAACCCACACAGGCCAGCUAGUCAUCUCGCUUGCACUUGCGUAAGUGGAGCCUGGCUAUCUGCUUCGGAAAUUGAUUGGGAAUGGAAUCCUGCAUUCAGCUAAGAGCAGAAGAGAGAGAGCAAAGCUGAGGCUGGAUGCUGCUGCUGCUGCUCCUGCUGAAGCUGAUAUCUGUCGAGUUUAGUCUUGAAUUGUGCACCUUGGUGGCUGGUUCUGUGGCAGUGUAACGCGAACCCUUGCCUGGACAGGACGGCAGCAACUAAGCAAAGCCAAACACGAACAAUCAAAUCAUGUACUCGUGAUUUACUUAUUUACUUUGGCAAACAACAAAAAAUUCAAACACACAAAAAGGCAGCAAAUACAAUAAACACAAAACAAACACAACGUGAACCGAAUAACAACAACAACAAGCUCAACAUUUCGUUGCAGUAAGUAUGAGCAGGCGAAAGCAAAACCCCUAAAACACCCAAAAACCUCCCCAAAAUAAUUUAACAUGGAAUUCCCUCACAAAA